UUGGGGCCGCGUUUUCCAAAAAACAUGGGCCUAAAAGGGUUGCGGGCCCUUAGAGUUUGGUUCCCUGGGUCAGGACGAACGCUGGCGGCGUGCCUAAUACAUGCAAGUCGAGCGGACAGAAGCGAGCUUGCUCCCGGAUGUUAGCGGCGGACGGGUGAGUAACACGUGGGUAACCUGCCUGUAAGACUGGGAUAACUCCGCGAAACCGGAGCUAAUACCGGAUAGUUCCUUGAACCGCAUGGUUCAAGGAUGAAAGACGGUUUCGGCUGUCACUUACAGAUGGACCCGCGGCGCAUUAGCUAGUUGGUGGGGUAAUGGCUCACCAAGGCGACGAUGCGUAGCCGACCUGAGAGGGUGAUCGGCCACACUGGGACUGAGACACGGCCCAGACUCCUACGGGAGGCAGCAGUAGGGAAUCUUCCGCAAUGGACGAAAGUCUGACGGAGCAACGCCGCGUGAGUGAUGAAGGUUUUCGGAUCGUAAAGCUCUGUUGUUAGGGAAGAACAAGUGCGAGAGUAACUGCUCGCACCUUGACGGUACCUAACCAGAAAGCCACGGCUAACUACGUGCCAGCAGCCGCGGUAAUACGUAGGUGGCAAGCGUUGUCCGGAAUUAUUGGGCGUAAAGGGCUCGCAGGCGGUUUCUUAAGUCUGAUGUGAAAGCCCCCGGCUCAACCGGGGAGGGUCAUUGGAAACUGGGAAACUUGAGUGCAGAAGAGGAGAGUGGAAUUCCACGUGUAGCGGUGAAAUGCGUAGAGAUGUGGAGGAACACCAGUGGCGAAGGCGACUCUCUGGUCUGUAACUGACGCUGAGGAGCGAAAGCGUGGGGAGCGAACAGGAUUAGAUACCCUGGUAGUCCACGCCGUAAACGAUGAGUGCUAAGUGUUAGGGGGUUUCCGCCCCCUUAGUGCUGCAGCUAACGCAUUAAG
rnacentral:rRNA from 1 species